CAGGCCUAACACAUGCAAGUCGAACGCUCCGCAAGGGGAGUGGCGCACGGGAGAGUAACGCGUGGGAACCUACCUAUUGGUUCGGGACAACACCGGGAAACUGGUGCUAAUACCGGAUAAGCCCGAGAGGGGAAAGAUUUAUCGCCGAUAGAUGGGCCCGCGUUAGAUUAGCUAGUUGGUGAGGUAAGAGCUCACCAAGGCGACGAUCUAUAGCUGGUCUGAGAGGAUGAUCAGCCUCACUGGGACUGAGACACGGCCCAGACUCCUACGGGAGGCAGCAGUGGGGAAUAUUGGACAAUGGGGGCAACCCUGAUCCAGCCAUGCCGCGUGAAUGAUGAAGGCCUUCGGGUUGUAAAGUUCUUUUGGUAGGGACGAUGAUGACGGUACCUACAGAAUAAGCUCCGGCUAACUUCGUGCCAGCAGCCGCGGUAAUAAU
rnacentral:rRNA from 1 species